GAAAGGCUUCGGCCGGACAGGGAUGGGCAUGCGGCGCAUUAGGCAGUAGGCGGGGUAACGGCCCACCUAACCGACGAUGCGUAGGGGUUCUGAGAGGAAGGUCCCCCACACUGGUACUGAGACACGGACCAGACUCCUACGGGAGGCAGCAGUGAGGAAUAUUGGUCAAUGGUCGGGAGACUGAACCAGCCAAGCCGCGUGAGGGAGGAAGGUACAGAGUAUCGUAAACCUCUUUUGUCAGGGAACAAAGACUGGGACGCGUCCCCGGAUGAGUGUACCUGAAGAAAAAGCAUCGGCUAACUCCGUGCCAGCAGCCGCGGUAAUACGGAGGAUGCGAGCGUUAUCCGGAUUUAUUGGGUUUAAAGGGUGCGCAGGCGGUCUGUUAAGUCAGCGGUCAAAGCCCGGGGCUCAACCCCGGCCCGCCGUUGAAACUGGCAGUCUCGAAUUGGAGAGAAGUAUGCGGAAUGCGCGGUGUAGCGGUGAAAUGCAUAGAUAUCGCGCAGAACUCCGAUUGCGAAGGCAGCAUGCCGGCUCCACACUGACGCUGAGGCACGAAAGCGUGGGUAUCGAACAGGAUUAGAUACCCUGGUAGUCCACGCAGUAAACGAUGAAUGCUGGCUGUCCGGGGGGACUGACCCCUGG
rnacentral:rRNA from 1 species